rnacentral:lncRNA from 1 species
CACGCUGUGGAGAGGGGUGGCGGGGUCGCCAUCUUUCUGUGAGGAGUGCAGAGCUGGAGGAUUUCUACGUAUAGUCUGUACUGUAAUGGGGCAAAAAAGGGCUUACCUACUUUGUUGGAAGGAAUGUUUCUGCUCUCCAGAUCGCAUCUUUUACUAGUAUUCCUUUCACCGUGCUCUUAGCUGACAUUGGAUAAUCCUCUUUUCCAAUCCUGAGCACCCUGAAGAAGCUCUUUUCCGAGCCCAGCAGUAGCCAAGCACAAGCUUCUAGCCCAGGAGGAAGGAGGGCACUGCUGGGAGAUUGCUUGUCCUUUUGAAGAGAGGGAAUGGCUGCAGAUGAAGACAAGUGAGCAGCGUCAGUUUUCUUCCUGCCUCUUUCCCAUGUGAGCGCAGGGCCGCCGAGGGGAGCUGGCAGCCCGUGUGGCUGAGGCAGGCCCAUCAGGGCUCAGCUGCGGGGCGGAGGUGGAAGCACCGCUUCAUUCUGCUUUCAGCA